CAGCCAGAACCACCACAAAACUCAGCCUUUCUGAGCUCACACAGAGGUGCAGCCCUGUGCUCAGCCCUUGACUCGAUGCCAACAUGCAGACUGUGGAUGGAAGGUGAACAAAGGGGGGGGGGGGGGAAGCCCAGCCCCUCCACCUGCACCAAUGGACCUCGUGGUGCUCAGCCACAGGAUGGGCUUUGGACACCACACCUGUACCUUACAUGGGCUGGCAGUGGCAGGAAUGCCGUGAGGAACAAGCAGCUUACUUAUAUUUAACCAACUGCUGACCUCAGUGGCAUAUACCUGAAAUCCAGUGCUAUUUUUAUGCUCUGCCACAUCAACACCUUUCCCACUGCUUCUGAUGGAGCACUAACAGAAGCUUUAGCGGUGCCUCGUGGAGGACUUUUAUCACAUGUUGUCAGAAUGCACCACAGUGACUUGCUAUGAAGAACAUGAAUUGUGAGGACGAACACCACAACUUCACAAAAAGCUUCACAAUGCUUUCAAAACGAAACGUAUUUAAAAUGCAGCACUGAGAAAUGCUUUAAAUUGAGACAUGCGACUGCUGUAGCAUAUUAUACAUGUCAUAGAAAUGUAUAUUACUCACAAAGUAAGUGCAAAUCUACAAAAUGAAAGAGCUGAAUCAGUCUUUUCACCAGAGACUGAGAUCACUUCCAACUCCUCUGUUCCACCCUUCAAUAUUUAAUGAUGCAGUGAUGUAGCUGCCUUGGGUAUCGCAGUGAAUAAAGCUAACUCACUGACUGCUGGAAUAUUCUGAAUAUUCAUUCAUGCCAAACAAAGCUUCUCCUGCAAUUUCAUUCAUUAAAAGUGGUAGGAGAAUACAAACAUUACAUCUUAGUGCAGUUUGGCGCAGGACUUUGGAAGUGCCCAUCCUUAAUUCAGAAUUAAUCCUAGCAGAUGCGAGAUUUGCAAGACUGAAGUGAUGAAAUGUUGCCCCUCCUUUUCUGGCUAGAUGUCCCCAUGUAGGCAGCAAAGGCAGCACAAAAGAUAGGGGACAUCACUCUUAAGUAGUUUGAAUUCAAAAUCCUUAAGUCAAGCGGUCUGGAAAUAAACGUAACCCCAAAAUAUAACUGCAUGUGAUGUCCAACUGCAGCCAGCACGUGGUGUGGCUGGGAACUCAGCCUCUGGAUAAAAAGCAAUGGUACAAAUCAUACCAUUAAACUGUUCUGACACUUAUUCCCCAGCUCUUCUGUCGUUCUGCACAGCAGUAAUGCAUGUGGCUACAACAGAAGUAAUCUCCCAAAGCCUGCUGUAAAUUUGUUGACUGACGCCUACAGAAGAGAUGUAAAAUCCUCCUCCCAGGUUAGAUUUCACCAUCCGUGAAAAGAGGCGUGAAGGUAUUACAACCAUAAAGACAGAUACAGAAGGGCAGCUUAGAUAAAAAGGGGACAGAUAAGAUUCAAGGUCACCUGUAAACCCAGCCAGGACUCACUGUUUGAACAAGAGCAGCUUUGCUUUGUUCCAGUGCCCACUUAUCUCAAAUAGCUCUCGCGUCCCAUAGCUUUCUCACACAUCUGCAGUAUUACCAAAGGGGUGUGGACAGACCUUUCCUCACACCAUAAUUCUGUGACACUGUAUUGCUGCAGGCAGCCAUGGGAUGAGCAGAACACCGAGAGCCAAACGAGCAGGUCGCAGUUUGCCGUAUGAAGUUUCAGGAGGAAGUCGUGGAGGCUGUGAGAACCCAGGGGACUCCGAGCUGAAGCUGUUUUCUGAAAGGGUUAAGCAACAGCAAAUCAGUGCUGAGUGGUGGCUACGUACCAGAAUGUGAACUGAGCACUCCUCAGUACGUUUUCUUCUCUUGCUCAGGAGUCUCAUUCUGUCUCUGAGUGUGGCUUAGAACCACAGAAUGGCUGAGGCUGGAAGGUGACCCGUCCAUCUGCUGAGCCCAAAGCCGGCUCCACCACAGCACGCAGUCUGGGACCACGUCCUGUUGUGCUCUGAGCAUCUCUGAGGAUGAAGACUUCAUAAUCUUUCUGGGUAACCUGCUCCGAUGUUUGAUCACCUUCUCAAUAAAAACACAAAGCAAAAUCUUUGUGUGGCAUUUUCAGUAUUUCAGUUUUUCCUGUUACUUUCUGUCCCUUCACUCCUGAGUACGACUUCACCUCUUUCAUCUGUUUAAGAGAAUCCUAGAAUUUUGGUUUGGAAGGCACCUUUAAUGGUCAUCCUGUCCAACUCCCUGCAACGAACUGAUACAUCAGGAGGCUGUGGAUGCCCCAUCCAUCCCUGCAGGCAUUCAAGGCCAGGCUGGAUGUGGCUCUGGGCAGCCUGGGCUGCUGGUUGGCGACCUGCACACAGCAGGGAUUGGAGCUGGAUGAGCGCUGUGCUCCUUUGCAGCCCAGGCCAUGCUGUCAUUCCAUGAUUCUGUGAUCACCUUCCUCCCACAGCCUUCUCCUGAGGCUGAACAGUGCCAGUUCUCAGCCUUCCUCUGUAUGACAGAUCCCUGUGCUGGGCUCGGCCACCACAUCAAUGCCUACUGCAAAGUGAGCACUGGGCAGAGGAGGCUGCAUCGUUCUGAGCAGAGGAGAAGGAUCACCUCCAGUCUGCUGCCUGCCCUUCCUACUGCAGCCC